GCUAGGAUGAACGCUGGCGGCGUGCCUAACACAUGCAAGUCGAGCGAUUUACUUCGGUAAAGAGCGGCGGACGGGUGAGUAACGCGUGGGUAACCUGCCUCAUACACAUGGAUAACAUACCGAAAGGUAUGCUAAUACAGGGAUAAUAUAAGAGAUUCACAUGGAUUUCUUAUCAAAGCUCCGGCGGUAUGAGAUGGACCCGCGUCUGAUUAGCUAGUUGGUAAGGUAAUGGCUUACCAAGGCGACGAUCAGUAGCCGACCUGAGAGGGUGAUCGGCCACAUUGGAACUGAGACACGGUCCAAACUCCUACGGGAGGCAGCAGUGGGAAUAUUGCACAAUGGGCGAAAGCCUGAUGCCAGCAACGCCGCGUGAGUGAUGAAGGCCUUCGGGUCGUAAAACUCUGUCCUCAAGGAAGAUAAUGACGGUACUUGAGGAGGAAGCCCCGGCUAACUACGUGCCAGCCGCUGC
rnacentral:rRNA from 1 species